AGCGAACGCUGGCGGCAGGCCUAACACAUGCAAGUCGAACGAAGUCUUCGGACUUAGUGGCGGACGGGUGAGUAACACGUGGGAACGUGCCUUUAGGUUCGGAAUAACUCAGGGAAACUUGUGCUAAUACCGAAUGUGCCCUUCGGGGGAAAGAUUUAUCGCCUUUAGAGCGGCCCGCGUCUGAUUAACUAGUUGGUGAGGUAAAGGCUCACCAAGGCGACGAUCAGUAGCUGGUCUGAGAGGAUGAUCAGCCACAUUGGGACUGAGACACGGCCCAAACUCCUCCGGGUGGCAGAAGUGGGGAAGCUUGCGCAAUGGGCGAAAGACUGACGCAGCCAUGCCGCGUGAAUGAUGAAGGUCUUAGGAUUGUAAAAUUCUUUCACCGGGGACGAUAAUGACGGUACCCGGAGAAGAAGCCCCGGCUAACUGCGUGCCAGCCGCCGCGGUAAUAC
rnacentral:rRNA from 1 species